CUGUCAGGGGGUGAAGAAUCCAGGAGAUUGGCUGCUGGGGCUCCGGGAGGGAGAUAAGCAGCAGCUGUGGAGACCAGAAGGGAGGAGGGGGAAGAAGAGAGAGAAGCUGCUAGGCUGCAACACUGCCAGAUUGGGCUGCAAAGUCUGGAAAAGUGCGACAUCCAAGGCACACAGCUGGGAAGCAUCAGGCUUUGGAGGGAGGCUUCUGUCGCUCCCACACCAGCGCUUUGCAGUCUGCUUCUGCUCCCAAGGUCACCAUGCCCAGAGUCUUUGGCCCUUUCCCACAACUUAUGAACAAGCAGGUUUGUACCUGGCUCUUCUGCUCAUGUGUUCCUGGGGAUUCCAAUCUUGCCAUAUCUUCCAGACAGAGAAUUCCUGGAGUCUUGAUGCUGAAGCAUGUUAUGUGGGGUUGCAGGCCUUUCUAAGGUGGGGCAAGUCUGAUAGUAGACAUUGACAUAGGCACCACUGACCAGAGUCAGAGCCAAAUCUCUCUCUGCUGCUCCAACCUCACCCUUCCCAGCAGAGAUGCUCUGGGAACAAAGGCAGGAAUAAUCAUUUAUGGAGCUCAUAGCUCCUUCAGCCCAGCCUCAGCAGCUUCUCCCAUGCUGGAGUGGCUGAAAGGGAAUAGACAGCAGUGCUGGGGGUUGGUUUAGCAAGCCGACUUGUAAAGAAACAGUUCUUGUGGUGCUCUCUAAUGAGUGCUUUUAUUUCUGAUAGCUGAAUGGAGUGACAGCUUCAAAAAAUGACCUGAAGUAUCAGUGGGCUGGUGUGUCAACAAUGAACCAGAAAAGGUGUGAGGGUCUGAUGUACUGGGGAAGGUCAGGUCUGGAAAGGUAACAACACAAGGUUGUUAGGGGAUAUGUCUCUUUCCUCCUUGCUGACAGGGGGGCUAGAAAGUGAACCUGUGAUGGAAGGAGAGCAGGUGCCUGUCCAGUAUGACUUGAAUAUCCAUUUGAUAUACUCCAGGCCUGUAAUGCUGCUCCUCCUGCUGCCAGGUCUUCGGUGCAAGGUUCUUCUUUUUUGCCUCCUAUAGAAUUUUUACAUCUCCGCUCCCCUCAAGUUCCCUUGUUCUUAUUGAACCCAGCUAAACAACAGGUCAUCUCCUUUACUGAACUCCAUGUCUUCCAACAGUAUGAUUGAUCUGCAUCCUAUAGUGCUGAACCCUGGGGCCUCUACACCUCCCUCCAGACUGGCAAUCACAUCAAUAAGAUGAGGCACACCACCUUCUUAAGGUGACAAUUGUAAGAAAAUUGUUGGGGUUUUGAUACACAAAAGAUGCACUUUCCAAAGAAUGCAGAGCAGAGGCACAGUCUACAUGGAGAAGCAAAUGAGAAGAUUUCCCAUUGGAGAUUGGGCUCAGUGCAGGAAACCCAUCAGACAGAAAUGUGUAAAUGCUUGCUGCCCUCUGCUGGGCCAUCAAGGAAUGCACCUUUGGUGUCACCUCUGACCUCUCGUGUUGAAAUAUCUCUUCUUAAGAUAUGCUGGGUCAAUGGAACCUGCAGAUUAUCAUUGAAAAACAUCUCUGGAAAAAUAUUAUCAGGAGAGACUUGAAUAAAGAGAGGAUAGCUGACUGUACUGAGGAGAAUAAUACUGUUCCAGGCACAAUGAAUGGCUUGGGAGAAGAAAGGCACAUGAGCAAAAAAAGGUACCCAGACAUGGGAGAGGAGCAAGGAGAGGUAGAAGUAUAGGUGGAAGAUGGUGAGCAACUUUGUGGGGCUCUGAGGACAAGGACUAGGAGCUUGAUCUAGAAAAACAGUGGAAGAGCAUGGAAGGCAGUGAAGGUACCUUUAAAAAGUACUGAUGAAGUCAGAUCAGUGAGAGAAGAUAGUGGAUUGUGCCGAAACAUUUUAAACAUUAGAAGGGUGGGAGCUGUGAGGCAGGGAGUUGUGGUAUAGUACUUGUGAGAGCAGGUGGUUUGUAGCAAAAACAAAGAGGAAGGAUAAGCUAAGAUCACAUGUAGUCCCUGUUCUUGAAGGCUCAGGUCAAGCGUAGUGCCUGUUCUUAACCUGGCAGGGGAAAUACCAUGUAUCUGUGUCCAUGAAGGCAGUUUUCCUAAAGCGCACCCAGGGAGAAUUGCUUUUCUGGCGUGGUUCAGUAUCUGCUGAGGUGUAGCAACUUUAAGCCCACUUUAUGGAAAUGGGAGUCUCCUCCCUAGCUUGCUCUGAAGGCCUUAUGGCUAAGGGCCAGCAAAAAUCAGGGGCAUUUGACCCCCAAGCCUCUAGGCUUGGGCUUGCAAGUAGGAUGCCUGCCAAAGGAUUUGGAAACAUCUGAAGCCCCAGGUGU